rnacentral:rRNA from 1 species
GAUGAACGCUGGUGGCGUGCCUAUCCCUGCCAGUCGCGCGAACAGACGAGGAGCUUGCUCCUCUGACGUUAGCGGCGGACGGGUGAGUAACACGUGGAUAACCUACCUAUAAGACUGGGAUAACUUCGGGAAACCGGAGCUAAUACCGGAUAAUAUAUUGAACCGCAUGGUUCAAUAGUGAAAGACGGUUUUGCUGUCACUUAUAGAUGGAUCCGCGCCGCAUUAGCUAGUUGGUAAGGUAACGGCUUACCAAGGCGACGAUGCGUAGCCGACCUGAGAGGGUGAUCGGCCACACUGGAACUGAGACACGGUCCAGACUCCUACGGGAGGCAGCAGUAGGGAAUCUUCCGCAAUGGGCGAAAGCCUGACGGAGCAACGCCGCGUGAGUGAUGAAGGUCUUCGGAUCGUAAAACUCUGUUAUUAGGGAAGAACAAAUGUGUAAGUAACUAUGCACGUCUUGACGGUACCUAAUCAGAAAGCCACGGCUAACUACGUG